rnacentral:rRNA from 1 species
UACAGAGGGUGCGAGCGUUGUCCGGAAUCACUGGGCGUAAAGGGCGCGUAGGUGGCCUGGUAAGUAGGGAGUGAAAUCUCGAGGCUCAACUUCGAGGCUGCCUCUUAAACUGUCAGGCUUGAGCAGAGUAGAGGCAGGUGGAAUUCCCGGUGUAGCGGUGGAAUGCGUAGAGAUCGGGAAGAACAUCGGUGGCGAAGGCGGCCUGCUGGGCUCUUGCUGACACUGAGGCACGAAAGCUAGGGGAGCAAACAGG